rnacentral:rRNA from 1 species
UGGGGGCCCUACGGGAGGCAGCAGUGGGGAAUAUUGCACAAUGGGCGAAAGCCUGAUGCAGCAACGCCGCGUGCGGGAUGACGGCCUUCGGGUUGUAAACCGCUUUCACUCAUGACGAAGCGCAAGUGACGGUAGUGAGAGAAGAAGCACCGGCCAACUACGUGCCAGCAGCCGCGGUGAUACGUAGGGUGCGAGCGUUGUCCGGAAUUAUUGGGCGUAAAGAGCUUGUAGGCGGUUUGUCGCGUCGGAAGUGAAAACUCAGAGCUUAACUCUGAGCCUGCUUCCGAUACGGGCAGACUUGAGGAAGGUAGGGGAGAACGGAAUUCCUGGUGGAGCGGUGGAAUGCUCAGAUAUCAGGAGGAACACCGGUGGCGAAGGCGGUUCUCUGGACCUUUCCUGACGCUGAGAAGCGAAAGUGUGGGGAGCAAACAGGCUUAGAUACCCUGGUAGUCCACACCGUAAACGGUGGGCACUAGGUGUGGGGGACAUUCCACGUUCUCCGUGCCGUAGCUAACGCAUUAAGUGCCCCGCCUGCG